rnacentral:lncRNA from 1 species
UGGUCAUAACAAAUAGGAACGGUAAAGUAAACUCAAGACUGACGGCCAAUUUCAAUUGUCAAAAAGAUCAGCAAUGCCAUUGUUUUCCAAGUAAACUAAAUUUAAAGCACCGGAAAGAAAAGAGAUCAACCGCCUUUAUAGAUAUCUUGUGGUUUCAAUGCAAGAUUAUCAUCUAAAACAACUUAAUAAGUAAACUUAAAAGCCAAUCACACAAUAACUUU